AUCGUUGAUGACGAUGAUCUCAUCUCCUACAUCAUCGCCGGCCUCGACGACACGUAUGAACCUGUCAUCUCCACCAUCGUUGGCAAGGACACCAUGACGCUGGGAGAAGCCUACUCUCAGCUGCUCAGCUUUGAGC
rfam:Oryza rufipogon genomic scaffold, chr12